UCUAAAACGCCUUUUGUUGCCUGUCU
rnacentral:piRNA from 1 species